GACGAACGCUGGCGGCGUGCCUAAUACAUGCAAGUCGAACGAACCGCGACUAGGUGCUUGCACUUGGUCAAGGUGAGUGGCGAACGGGUGAGUAACACGUGGGUAACCUACCUCAUAGUGAGGGAUAACAGUCGGAAACGACUGCUAAUACCGCAUAGGACAUAGGAUCACAUGAUUCUGUGAGGACAGGUGGCGCAAGCUAUCGCUAAGCGAUUGACCCGCGGUGCAUUAGCUAGUUGGUAGGGUAAAGGCCUACCAAGGCGAUGAUGCAUAGCCGACCUGAGAGGCUGAUCGGCCACAUUAGGACUGAGACACGGCCAAAGCUCCUACGGGAGGCAGCAGUAGGGAAUCUGCCGCAAUGGUCGCAAGUCUGACGGAGCAACGCCGCGUGAGUGAAGAAGGUCUUCGGAUCGUAAAGCUCUGUUGUUAGAGAAGAACAGCGCAUAGAGUAACUGUUAUGCGUGUGACGGUAUCUAACCAGAAAGCAACGGCUAACUACGUG
rnacentral:rRNA from 1 species